rnacentral:tRNA from 1 species
GGCCCGGUAGCUCAGUCGGUAGAGCAGAGGAUUGAAAAUCCUCGUGUCGGUGGUUCGAUUCCGCCCCGGGCCA